CGACGGGUGAGUAAACGUGGGCAAUCUGCCCUUCACUCUGGGACAAGCCCUGGAAACGGGGUCUAAUACCGGAUAACACUUCUGCUCUCAUGGGCAGGGGUUAAAAGCUCCGGCGGUGAAGGAUGAGCCCGCGGCCUAUCAGCUUGUUGGUGAGGUAAUGGCUCACCAAGGCGACGACGGGUAGCCGGCCUGAGAGGGCGACCGGCCACACUGGGACUGAGACACGGCCCAGACUCCUACGGGAGGCAGCAGUGGGGAAUAUUGCACAAUGGGCGAAAGCCUGAUGCAGCGACGCCGCGUGAGGGAUGACGGCCUUCGGGUUGUAAACCUCUUUCAGCAGGGAAGAAGCGAAAGUGACGGUACCUGCAGAAGAAGCGCCGGCUAACUACGUGCCAGCAGCCGCGGUAAUACG
rnacentral:rRNA from 1 species